CUGCUGCCUUCCGUAGGAGUUUGGGCCGUGUCUCAGUCCCAAUGUGGCUGUCCACCCUCUCAGGCCGGCUACUGAUCGUCGCCUUGGUGGGCCGUUACCCCGCCAACAAGCUAAUCAGACGCGGGUCCAUCUUACACCACCGGAGUUUUUCACACAAAUCCAUGCGGCUUCGUGCGCUUAUGCGGUAUUAGCACCUAUUUCUAAGUGUUAUCCCCCAGUGUAAGGCAGGUUACCCACGCGUUACUCACCCGUCCGCCACUAAGUA
rnacentral:rRNA from 1 species